rnacentral:rRNA from 1 species
ACGGAGGAUCCGAGCGUUAUCCGGAUUUAUUGGGUUUAAAGGGAGCGUAGGUGGAUUGUUAAGUCAGUUGUGAAAGUUUGCGGCUCAACCGUAAAAUUGCAGUUGAAACUGGGAGUCUUGAGUACAGUAGAGGUGGGCGGAAUUCGUGGUGUAGCGGUGAAAUGCUUAGAUAUCACGAAGAACUCCGAUUGCGAAGGCAGCUCACUAGACUGUCACUGACACUGAUGCUCGAAAGUGUGGGUAUCAAACAG